rnacentral:rRNA from 1 species
ACGCUGAGACUUUAGCUUGCUAAAGUUGGAAGAGUUGCGAACGGGUGAGUAACGCGUAGGUAACCUGCCUACUAGCGGGGGAUAACUAUUGGAAACGAUAGCUAAUACCGCAUAACAGCAUUUAACCCAUGUUAGAUGCUUGAAAGGAGCAAUUGCUUCACUAGUAGAUGGACCUGCGUUGUAUUAGCUAGUUGGUGAGGUAACGGCUCACCAAGGCGACGAUACAUAGCCGACCUGAGAGGGUGAUCGGCCACACUGGGACUGAGACACGGCCCAGACUCCUACGGGAGGCAGCAGUAGGGAAUCUUCGGCAAUGGGGGCAACCCUGACCGAGCAACGCCGCGUGAGUGAAGAAGGUUUUCGGAUCGUAAAGCUCUGUUGUAAGAGAAGAACGUGUGUGAGAGUG